rnacentral:misc_RNA from 1 species
AAGGGCUACCGCGUCAUCGUUCCGCAUCUGCGCGGCUACGGCACCACCACGUUUCUCUCCGCCGACACGCCGCGCAACGGCCAGCAGGCGGUGCUGGCGAUGGACAUCAUUGAGUUGAUGAAUGCGCUCAGGAUCGAGAAAGCCGUUGUCGCCGGUUAUGACUGGGGCGCGCGCACCGCCAACAUCCUCGCGGCGCUCUGGCCGGAGCGGG